GCGGACGCUUCGCCGAACUGGAUUUAGGUUCCAGCGCCGCAAGGCGUGAGAGUUCGAGUCUCUCCGUCCGCACCA
rnacentral:tRNA from 1 species